ensembl:snRNA U6 U6 spliceosomal RNA
GUGCUUGUUUCAGCAGCACAUGUGCUAAAAUUGGAACAACAUAGACAAGAUUAGCAUGGCCCAGUGCAAGGACAGGCAAAUUGGUGAAGGGUUUCUUUCAUAA